AUGAGAUCUUUGUCCCUUUUGCUCAUUCUCCUAAGCGCCUCACCUGGCAUCCUUUCCAGUCCACAGCUAAUCGAGACUGGCCCAGGAGUGGUGAAGCCAGGUGAGUCCUUCAAACUGACCUGCACUAUCUCUGGUUUCCAAGUCAGUAAUUAUAACUGGGUCUGGAACCGACAGCCUCCAGGGAAAGGCCUGGAGUUUAUUGGUGCUAUUCGGAGCUCUGCAGCUGGAGGAACCACCUAUUAUAACCCAGCAUUCAGUAGUCGGAUUUCUAUCACCAGGGACACCUCCAGAAAUGAAGUGUAUCUUCAGCUGAAUUCCCCGACAGCUGCAGACACCGCUGUGUAUUUUUGUGCACGAGACACAUAUCACUGUGACUACUAUGCUUUUGACAUAUGGGGACAAGGCACCCUGGUUACAGUGAGCAGUGCGAGCACCACAGCCCCGACGGUCUUCCCAUUGCCUCCCUGUAGCCAAGACUCCUCUACCACCUCCCAGGUCUCCAUAGGUUGUCUGGUCUCUGGCUACUUUCCUGAACCGGUCAUAGUACGGUGGAAUUCAGGAGCCAUCUCCAGCGGCAUCCGGACUUUCCCUGCAAAAUUGGAUUCAUCCAGGGGCCUCUACACCCUCACCAGCCAGCUCACCAUCCCAACCAGCACCUGGGAAUCGGAGAAGUUCCAAUGCAAUGUCGCCCAUGCAGCUUCCAGCUCCACAAUCAGCAAAGACAUUGAACGAACAUCUGCAAAAUCACCAGUGGCCCCGGAAGUCCGCCUGCUCCAUUCCUCCUGCGAUUCCAAAUCCAGUAGUGCCACCAUUGAGCUGUUCUGCAUUAUCUCCAGCUUCUACCCCAAAAUGUUGACGGUGGAAUGGCUGGUGGGUGGGCAAGCCGGGCUCCUGCCUUCAUUCACUGAGCAGCCCAAGAAGGAUGCCCACGGAUACACUUUCAGUACCACAAGCACAGCCAAUGUCAGCCAAGCUGACUGGCAGGCUGGGAAUGUCUACUACUGCCAGGUGUUCCACGAAGCAACACAAACGAAGGUGAAUAGCAAAGCCAAGAUAUGUGAAGAUGCUACCGCCUGCCCUUCCACUGGCAUUGACGUAAGAAUCAUACUCCCAACUCCAAAAGACCUGUAUGUAAACAGCGACCCCAAACUCAUCUGCGUGGUGGAAAACUUGAUAGAUACAGAUGGGCUGAUAAUCACCUGGUCACGGCAGACACCAGGACCUGUGAGCCAAGAACUACUGGAAACAAAAGAAGAGCCUAAUGGAAAGUUCACCGCUACGAAGGCCCUCUCUGCCACAACGUGGCUACAGGGAGAUGAAUUCACCUGCAAAGUGGAAUAUCCAGGCCUGGCUGCUCCCAUCAUCAGGACCAUUGCCAAGACGGCAGGAACGGUCCAUGCUCCUGAGGUGUACCUUUUCCGACCCCACCCUGAGGAAAUCCGUACUCGGCCACCUAUGGUGACCCUCACCUGCCUGAUCACUGGGUUCACCCCAGAGGCAAUUUCUGUCCAGUGGCUGAAGAAUCACAACGCUAUACCUGACGAUCACCAUGUCAACACCCCAGUCAUGAAGAACAACAACAACCAUUCCUACUUCAUGUACAGCCACAUGAAAAUCGCAUUAACUGACUGGAACAAUGGAAAUGCGUUCACCUGCAUGGUUAUCCACGAAGCCCUCCCCAUGAAGUUCACCCAGAGGACCGUGGAGAAAUCCCAGGAGGUGGCUGUGUUAACAAUGGAUGAUUACAGCGAUGAGAAAGAGGAGGAAAUGGAUCGUCUCUGGGUCACCAUCUUUGUUUUCUUCAUUCUCUUCCUCCUCAGUGUUUCUUACAGUGCCACCAUUACACUGUUCAAAGUAAAAUGGCUCUUCUCCACUGUGGUGGUCCUGAAAAAGCAGCCAGCAGGCCCUGACUAUAAGAAUGUGCACCAAUGAUUGGCCUAGAAGCAUUUUCCUGGGAGCUCUUGUCCUACAUGUUGAGCAGUGCAAAGGAGAAGUCACUGGCUGGAGAUAGGACUCCGUUUCCAGCAUUGACAACCAAAGCUAUCUGCUAUCUGCUUCUCUUCCCUGGUAGGGGGACAAUGAAGCCCCAUCAGAUGAAGGACAGAGAGGCAAUUUUGUUAGAACUUGGAGCUGGACUCGUCAUAUUAUGUCAUUUGCUGAGACGGCACUUCCAAGACAGGAAGCCUACUGGCCCUAUGUGCAUCUGUUUCCCACAGUGACUGUCAAGAAGAGCAACUAGUACUCCCAACCCAAGGUGUAUUAGUACUCCCAAACCAAACGACUAGUACUCCCAACCCAAGAGCACAGGUCUUGAUAAAGGAUUUUGGCACAUCUACUCAGCGUUAAGUCCUUCUGAGUUCAAUGGGACAUACAUCUAAGUAUACAUAUGACUGCAGCCUAUGUAUCCACUGGACUCUCCCCAUUUCAGAGUUCAGAUCUCCUCUCAACCCCAUGUUUUUGUUCAGUUUCUGUUAAUUGAUU